UCUGGGAAACUGCCUGAUGGAGGGGGAUAACUACUGGAAACGGUAGCUAAUACCGCAUAAUGUCGCAAGACCAAAGUGGGGGACCUUCGGGCCUCAUGCCAUCAGAUGUGCCCAGAUGGGAUUAGCUUGUAGGUGGGGUAACGGCUCACCUAGGCGACGAUCCCUAGCUGGUCUGAGAGGAUGACCAGCCACACUGGAACUGAGACACGGUCCAGACUCCUACGGGAGGCAGCAGUGGGGAAUAUUGCACAAU
rnacentral:rRNA from 1 species